UUGUCCAGCUUUCUUGGAUCUAGGAACUGUCCUACAGUCAGAAACAAGUGAUGAUGCUCUACAUGGGAGAAUGGUCAAUCUGGAAUCAACCGUGGCUUCCCCUGCUGACCAGCACAGUCAGGUGCCCUGUGCCUGCCUGCACCAACCCCAUCUGCUAGAGGCCUGUAUUUGCAGGAAUGCUACCUCAGACUUCUGGGCCAGGCCAGAGUGGUCCUGUUCAGCGGUUUUCACUGCGCUUGCAUGCAAUAAUAUACAAAGAGACACACAGCAGGUAAAGGUUGACUUCAGAGAAUUUCAUAAGACCGACUUAAGAUCAGUAUCCAGAUGCAUUGCUCCCUGAAUCCUGUGUCUGUUGACAGUAUGAGAUUAUCCUUCAGCUGGAUUUGGAGAAAUCUCACAAGAACUUGCACAGAUCAUUCAAGGUCCCUAGUCUCCUGAGUGGAUGACUGAAGUCAGCUACCAUUGCUUCCUGACCCCUCAGUCUCGAGACCUCCAGCAGCUGUACCUUUGCCUUAUUCCCAAACAGUGACACCAUCCUACGGACACAACAUGGCCAGUGAGCUCAAGAUGGAGACUCAAUUCCAUGGACACACGUGGCCAAUGUGCUCACUGAGCCCACUUCUCAGCCUCUGCUGUCACUGGUUCCACACUUGGUGCCCUUCUUUUCUCUAUAACAGUUUAUGCCCACUUCUAAUGUGCCUGGACACUCUUCUUUUAAGCUCAUCUCUCAGCCACAAAGGCUAAAAUGUCUCUUUUGUGGUCUCUUUUUGCUGCUGUUCAUGUAUCCUUUUGGAAUUCCUCUCUAGUUGGAUAAAGGUGUUGAGUGGGUUCAAUGAAAUAAAAAACCUGGGUUUCCCCCUCCUCUUCCACAUG